rnacentral:rRNA from 1 species
UACGUAGGGUGCGAGCGUUGUCCGGAAUUAUUGGGCGUAAAGAGCUUGUAGGCGGUUUGUCGCGUCUGCUGUGAGAAUCUGGGGCUCAACCCCGGACUUGCAGUGGGUACGGGCAGACUAGAGUGUGGUAGGGGAGACUGGAAUUCCUGGUGUAGCGGUGAAAUGCGCAGAUAUCAGGAGGAACACCGAUGGCGAAGGCAGGUCUCUGGGCCACUACUGACGCUGAGAAGCGAAAGCAUGGGGAGCGAACAGGAUUA